CCUACGGGGGGCUGCAGUGAGGAAUAUUGGUCAAUGGACGGAAGCCUGAACCAGCCAUGCCGCGUGCAGGAAGACGGCUCUAUGAGUUGUAAACUGCUUUUGUACAAGGGUAAACCUGAAUACGUGUAUUCAGCUGAAAGUACUGUACGAAUAAGGAUCGGCUAACUCCGUGCCAGCAGCCGCGGUAAUACGGAGGAUCCAAGCGUUAUCCGGAUUUAUUGGGUUUAAAGGGUGCGUAGGCGGAUUGAUAAGUUAGAGGUGAAAUGUCCGGGCUUAACUCGUGAACUGCCUCUAAUACUGUUGAUCUAGAGAGUAGAUGCGGUAGGCGGAAUGUAUGGUGUAGCGGUGAAAUGCUUAGAGAUCAUACAGAACACCGAUUGCGAAGGCAGCUUACCAAUCUAUAUCUGACGUUGAGGCACGAAAGCGUGGGGAGCAAACAGGAUUAGAUACCCGUGUAGUC
rnacentral:rRNA from 1 species